rnacentral:rRNA from 1 species
CCUACGGGAGGCAGCAGUGAGGAAUAUUGGUCCAUGGACGAGAGUCUGAACCAGCCAAGUAGCGUGAAGGAUGACUGCCCUAUGGGUUGUAAACUUCUUUUAUAAAGGAAUAAAACGAGGCACGUGUGCCUUUUUGCAUGUACUUUAUGAAUAAGGAUCGGCUAACUCCGUGCCAGCAGCCGCGGUAAUACGGAGGAUCCGAUCGUUAUCCGGAUUUCUUGGGUUUAAGGGGAGCGUAGAUGGGUUGUUAAGUCAGUUGUGAAAGUUUGCGGCUCAACCGUAAAAUUGCAAUUGAUACUGGCAGUCUUGAGUACAGUUGAGGUAAGCGGAAUUCGUGGUGUAGCGGUGAAAUGCUUAGAUAUCACGAAGAACCCCGAUUGCGAAGGCAGCUUACUAAACUGUGACUGACAUUGAUGCUCGAAAGUGUGGGUAUCAAACAGGAUUAGAUACCCCAGUAGUC